rnacentral:rRNA from 1 species
CCUACGGGAGGCAGCAGUGGGGAAUAUUGGACAAUGGGCGAAAGCCUGAUCCAGCAAUGCCGCGUGAGUGAUGAAGGCCUUAGGGUUGUAAAGCUCUUUUACCAGGGAUGAUAAUGACAGUACCUGGAGAAUAAGCUCCGGCUAACUCCGUGCCAGCAGCCGCGGUAAUACGGAGGGAGCUAGCGUUGUUCGGAAUUACUGGGCGUAAAGCGUACGUAGGCGGCGAUUCAAGUCAGAGGUGAAAGCCUGGAGCUCAACUCCAGAACUGCCUUUGAAACUAGAUUGCUAGAAUCGUGGAGAGGUGAGUGGAAUUCCGAGUGUAGAGGUGAAAUUCGUAGAUAUUCGGAAGAACACCAGUGGCGAAGGCGGCUCACUGGACACGUAUUGACGCUGAGGUACGAAAGCGUGGGGAGCAAACAGGAUUAGAUACCCUGGUAGUCCACGCCGUAAACGAUGAUAACUAGCUGCAGGUACGUUAGUACUUAGUGGUCGCAGCUAACGCAUAAGUUAUCCGCCGUGGGAGGUACGGUCGCGAGAAGUUAAACGUAACUAAAUAGUUAAGUUAGUACGGCGUUGAGACGUUGCCGACGGACGACGACGAGGGAGGAGG